UUUGGAAUAACUAUGGACUUUUACUUGAUU
rnacentral:piRNA from 1 species